rnacentral:rRNA from 1 species
AGAGUUUGAUCCUGGCUCAGGACGAACGCUGGCGGCGUGCCUAACACAUGCAAGUCGAACGGAGAUGACGGAGAGCUUGCUCUUCAUCAUCUCAGUGGCGGACGGGUGAGUAACACGUGAGGAACCUGGUUCAAAGAGGGGAAUAACGCAGGGAAACCUGCGCUAAUACCGCAUGAGGUAUCAGCAAGGCAUCUUGCAGAUAUCAAAGGAGAAAUCCGCUUUGAAAUGGCCUCGCGUCCGAUUAGAUAGUUGGCGGGGUAACGGCCCACCAAGUCUGCGAUCGGUAGCCGGACUGAGAGGUUGAUCGGCCACAUUGGGACUGAGAUACGGCCCAGACUCCUACGGGGGGCAGCAGUGAGGGAUAUUGCACAAUGGGGGGAACCCUGAUGCAGCAACGCCGCGUGAAGGAAGAAGGUCUUCGGAUUGUAAACUUCUUUGACGAGGGAAGAUAAUGACAGUACCUCGAAAACAAGCCACGGCUAACUACGUGCCAGCAGCCGCGGUAAUACGUAGGUGGCGAGCGUUGUCCGGAUUUACUGGGUGUAAAGGGCGUGUAGGCGGGACAGCAAGUCAGGUGUGAAAUGCGGAGGCUCAACCUCCGAACUGCAUUUGAAACUGCUGUUCUUGAGUGAUGGAGAGGUAAGCGGAAUUCCCGGUGUAGCGGUAGAAUGCGUAGAUAUCGGGAGGAACACCAGUGGCGAAGGCGGCUUACUGGACAUUUACUGACGCUGAGGCGCGAAAGUGUGGGGAGCAAACAGGAUUAAAUACCCUGGUAGUCCUACACUGUAAACGAUGGAUACUAGGUGUGGGGGGGACUGACCCCUUCCGUGCCGGAGUUAACACAAAUAAGUAUGUCACAUGGGGAGUACGGUCGCAAGAUUAAAUGUCAAAGGAAUUGACGGGAGCCCGCACAAGCAGUGGAGUAUGUGGAUUAAUUCGAUGCUACGUGUAAAAACCUUACCAAGACUUGACAUCCUGCUAACGAGGCAGAAAUGCGUUAGGUGCCCUUCGGGGAAAGCAGAGACAGGUGGUGCAUGGUUGUCGUCAGCUCGUGUCGUGAGGUGUUGGGUUAAGUCCCGCAACGAGCGCAACCCUUACGGUUAGUUGCUACGAAAGAGCACUCUAGCCGGACUGCCGUUGACGAAACGGAGGAAGGUGGGGAUGAGGUCAAAUCAUCAUGCCCUUUACGUCUUGGGCUUCACACGUACUACAAUGGCGGCCAACAGAGGGGAGCGAACCCGCGAGGGGGAGCAAAUCCCAAAAAGCCGCCCCAGUUCAGAUUGCAGGCUGCAACUCGCCUGCAUGAAGCCGGAAUUGCUAGUAAUCGCAGAUCAGCAUGCUGCGGUGAAUAAAUUCCCGGGCUUUGCACACACCGCCCGUCA